ensembl:lncRNA
CAUUAAAUGUGCGUGUAACAAUACAUUGAAUUAACUUUCAAAGUCAUUCACAUCACGUGUAAUCUGAAGGAAAACACAAGCAAUCUUUUACUACACGCUUAGUGUGUUACUCUGGUGUGGGUGGAAAAUAAAAGUAAUAUGUUUCAAUGUUUACAGAAUAAGAGACACUAAGUGGAGAAAAUAAUGGAGUUGAUGGUAAAAGAAGAGAUGAGAAAGAAAAGUAAGAGUUUUCUUCUCUGCUUUCACCUGCUGACUCUUCUCCAACUCGCUGCGCCCUCUUCAGGUAACGAAACACAUCCAGGGAUUCCAGAUCACUUAGUGAAGUUCUACUUACUCACAUUAGAGUUGAACUGAAAACAUGCACAUACACAUAUGUUGUUUCCUCGUGUGAUUCUUUUUUUCUAUUUGAAUAAAUGGAAAGUGAUUUAAAACAGAUUAUAAAAAUGCCUUAAAUGUUAUUAUUAUUAUAUUAUUUUCCACACUUUGAUCUUUCGUACUUCUCUCUUUCUCAAACUCUCUCACACACACACACACACACACACACACACACACACACACGUCCUCCACACGUUAUCUUGCUUUCAGCUCAAAACAUCAGCACCGCCGCCACCACGUCAGCCGCUGACGGUUUCCGCACUCACCCAGCCGACGUCACAGUGGCAGUUGGAGAACCGGCCGUGUUUCGCUGUGGAGUUCCCGAAGCUUCUCCAGACUUCACAUUCACCUUGCGGGGGGCGCACGGAAACUACAUCCUCACGUGCCCCUCGGGCCACGUGGAAGACGUUCCCCAGGCUCUCUAUGGAAGUUGUGAGGUGAGAAAUGGAGAGUCAUCAGCUGUGUGGACCCUAAAGGGAACUUCUUUCUCCGACAACGGGACACAGGUCUCCUGUCAGCAGCCAAAGAAUCCUAAUAGCGCUGCUGGCGUGCUGCACGUCUACGGUAAAGAUUCCUCCGAUUCAAUUUAACAUCUGCAUUUUCUGUCUGUCACAGCAUAAAUACAGACAGGUCAUUUGUAUUUCCUUAAUUCUACAUGUCAUUAAAGAUGACAAGUAGUGAUACUGACCAUCCGACCAGAUACAGGAAAACAUUCCUGCCAACUGCAAUAAGACUUUACAACAAAACACCUCUAAAUCCUCGUUUAUUUGAACAACAACACUACUGUCUUCAUUUAAUUUUCCAAUUUAAUUUAAUACAUAUCCCACCCCACUGUACAUACUCCUCUCUCUUAAUUUAAUAUGUUCUGCUCUUUUAUUUUAUUCUACUGUACUGUGUAUACAUUUUUAAUUUCUCACUUUAUUUACUGUACUGCUGCUAUUGCACAAUAAUUUCCCCUUGGGGAUUAAUAAAGUGUAUAUCUAACUAUCAUCCUCACCCCUAGAUAACGGCACCAGCCACGCCAUUCUCAUUGGUUGUAUCAUUGGGGGCUUCUUUGGCACGUUGUUGGUCUUCGGCUUACUGUACGUCAUGCUGCAGAGAUCUGAGAGGCUGCAGAAGUGCUUCU